CCUACGGGAGGCAGCAGUGGGGAAUAUUGCACAAUGGGGGAAACCCUGAUGCAGCAACGCCGCGUGAAGGAUGACGGUUUUCGGAUUGUAAACUUCUUUUCUUAGUGACGAAGACAGUGACGGUAGCUAAGGAAUAAGCAUCGGCUAACUACGUGCCAGCAGCCGCGGUAAUACGUAGGAUGCAAGCGUUAUCCGGAUUUACUGGGUGUAAAGGGAGCGCAGGCGGGACUGCAAGUUGGAUGUGAAAUACCGUGGCUUAACCACGGAACUGCAUCCAAAACUGUAGUUCUUGAGUGAAGUAGAGGCAAGCGGAAUUCCGAGUGUAGCGGUGAAAUGCGUAGAUAUUCGGAGGAACACCAGUGGCGAAGGCGGCUUGCUGGGCUUUAACUGACGCUGAGGCUCGAAAGUGUGGGGAGCAAACAGGAUUAGAUACCCUGGUAGUCCACACUGUAAACGAUGAUAGCUAGGUGUGGGGGGUCUGACCCCUUCCGUGCCGGAGUUAACGCAAUAAGCUAUCCACCUGGGGAGUACGACCGCAAGGUUGAAACUCAAAGGAAUUGACGGGGGCCCGCACAAGCAGUGGAGUAUGUGGUUUAAUUCGAAGCAACGCGAAGAACCUUACCAGGUCUUGACAUCCGAUGCAUAACACAGAGAUGUGUGAAAUCCUUCGGGACAUCGAGACAGGUGGUGCAUGGUUGUCGUCAGCUCGUGUCGUGAGAUGUUGGGUUAAGUCCCGCAACGAGCGCAACCCCUGUUCUUAGUAGCCAGCGGUCCGGCCGGGCACUCUAGGGAGACUGCCAGGGAUAACCUGGAGGAAGGCGGGGAUGACGUCAAAUCAUCAUGCCCCUUAUGACUUGGGCUACACACGUGCUACAAUGGCGUAAACAAAGGGAAGCGGAGCCGUGAGGCCGAGCAAAUCUCAAAAAUAACGUCUCAGUUCGGACUGUAGUCUGCAACCCGACUACACGAAGCUGGAAUCGCUAGUAAUCGCGGAUCAGAAUGCCGCGGUGAAUACGUUCCCGGGUCUUGUACACACCGCCCGUCACACCAUGGGAGUGGGGUUCACCAGAAGACGUUUGCCCAACCGAAAGGAAGGCGGCGUCCACGGUGGGCUUCAUGACUGGGGUGAAGUCGUAACAAGGUAGCCGUACCGGAAGGUGCGGCUG
rnacentral:rRNA from 1 species